UGGCAGGUUUGGUCCUAGCCUCAGUAUUAAUUUUAACUAAAUUUAUACAUGCAAGUUUCUGCAUUCCGGUGAGAGCGCCCUAAUCAUACCAUUAUUUGUUUAGGAGCCGGUAUCAGGCACAUAUAUAGUGUUAUAGCCCAUGACACCUUGCCCAGCCACACCCCCAAGGGACUUCAGCAGUAACUAAUAUUGAAACAUAAGCGCAAGCUUGAAUCAGUUAUAGUUAAAAGAGUUGGUCAAUCUCGUGCCAGCCACCGCGGUUAUACGAGUAACACACAUUAAUACUCUACGGCGUAAAGGGUGAUUAAAAAAUAUCUAAACUACACUAAAGUUAAAACCUCAUCAAGCUGUCAUACGCACUCAUGAGCAAUAAACACAACAACGAAAGUGACUUUAUUAUAAAACAGAAUUUUUGACAUCACGAUAGUUAAGACCCAAACUAGGAUUAGAUACCCUACUAUGCUUAACCUUAAACAUCGCUAAAACCAUCUACCAUUUUAUCCGCCCGAGCACUACAAGCGCUAGCUUCAAACCCAAAGGACUUGGCGGUGCCUCAGACCCACCUAGAGGAGCCUGUUCUAUAACCGAUAAUCCCCGUUAAACCUCACCACUUCUUGCCAUCAACCGCCUAUAUACCGCCGUCGUCAGCUCACCCCAUGAGGGAACAAAAGUAAGCAAAAUGAACUAACCUUCAAUACGUCAGGUCGAGGUGUAGCGAAUGAAGUGGAAAGAAAUGGGCUACAUUUUCUCCUAAGAAAAAACGAACAGUAUGAUGAAAAACUACUUAAAGGUGGAUUUAGCAGUAAGAAAAUCUUAGAACACUAUUCUGAAACUGGCUCUGAGGUGCGCACACACCGCCCGUCACUCUCCUCACCAUAAUAAUAUUCCCCUUACAUAAACAAACUUAUUCCUAAAGAGGAGGCAAGUCGUAACAUGGUAAGUGUACUGGAAGGUGCACUUGGAAUAAC
rnacentral:ncRNA from 1 species